GAUGAACGCUAGCGGCAGGCCUAACACAUGCAAGUCGAGGGGCAGCACAGAAACAGCAAUGUUUUGGUGGCGACCGGCGGACGGGUGCGUAACGCGUAUGCAACCUACCUUUAACAGGGGGAUAACGGAGAGAAAUUUCCACUAAUACCCCAUAACAUCUAUCAAGGCAUCUUGAUUGGUUGAAAACUCCGGUGGUUAAAGAUGGGCAUGCGUUGUAUUAGGUAGUUGGUGAGGUAAUGGCUCACCAAGCCUACGAUACAUAGGGGGACUGAGGGGUUAGCCCCCCACACUGGUACUGAGACACGGACCAGACUCCUACGGGAGGCAGCAGUGGGGAAUAUUGGUCAAUGGGGGCAACCCUGAACCAGCCAUGCCGCGUGCAGGAAGACGGCUCUAUGAGUUGUAAACUGCUUUUAAACAGGGAUAAAGCACAGUAUGUAUACUGUGCUGAAGGUACUGUAAGAAUAAGGAUCGGCUAACUCCGUGCCAGCCGCCGCGGUAA
rnacentral:rRNA from 1 species